UAAUGACGUGGCGACUUGU
rnacentral:snRNA from 1 species